GGUUUAGGGUUAUAUAGGGUUUAGGGUUAGAUAGGGUUUAGGGUUAGGUAGGGUUUAGGGUUGAAUAGGGUUUAGGGUUAGGUAGGGUUUAGGGUUGAAUAGGGUUUAGGGUUAGAUAGGGUUUAGGGUUGGGUAGGGUUUAGGGUUGGAUAGGGUUUAGGGUUAGGUAGGGUUAAGGGUUAGGUAGGGUUAAGGGUUGGGUAGGGUUUAGGGUUGGAUAGGGUUUAGGGUUGGAUAGGGUUUAGGGUUAGGUAGGGUUUAGGGUUAGGAUAGGGUUUAGGGUUAGGUAGGGUUUAGGGUUAGUAGGGUUUAGGGUUAGGUAGGGUUUAAAUAGGGUUUAGAGUUUAAAUAGGGUUUUGGGUUAGAUAGGGUUUAGGGUUUAAAUGGGGUUUAGGGUUAGUUAGGUUUAGGGUUAGGUAGGGUUUUUAGGGUUAAUCCUCAUAAUCUGUAAUACCCCUAAUCUCUAAUAUUCAUAAUUCCAUAUACCCCUAAUCUAUAAUACGCUUAAUCUAUAAUGCCCCUAAUUUCAUAUGUCCAUAAUAUAUAAUUCCUCUUAAUCUAUGGACUACUUAUAUUCUUAAUACUCCUAAUCUAAUAUACCCCUAAUAAAACGUUUUGGGGUUUAUCGGUAAUACUGUUGCUUUACUUUUUUAUCUGAAAAAUUAUUGCUGUAAAAUGUUUUGCUCUGGUUAUAAAUUUUAUUUCUGUAGUUUUUUUUCUUUAAAAAUGCGAUAGGUAUAAGUUAG
rnacentral:lncRNA from 1 species